rnacentral:rRNA from 1 species
GCUCAGGAUGAACGCUAGCGACAGGCUUAACACAUGCAAGUCGAGGGGCAGCGGGGGUGAUGGCUUGCCAUCACCUGCCGGCGACCGGCGCACGGGUGAGUAACACGUAUGCAACCUGCCCGCCACAGGGGGAUAAGCGGAAGAAAUUCCGUCUAAUACCGCGUGACGCGGCGCCGGGGCAUCCCGGUGCCGCCAAAGGGAUUACCGGUGGCGGAUGGGCAUGCGGCGCAUUAGCUAGUCGGCGGGGUAACGGCCCACCGAGGCGACGAUGCGUAGGGGUUCUGAGAGGAAGGUCCCCCACACUGGUACUGAGACACGGACCAGACUCCUACGGGAGGCAGCAGUGAGGAAUAUUGGUCAAUGGGCGCGAGCCUGAACCAGCCAAGUCGCGUGAGGGAUGACGGUCCUACGGAUUGUAAGCCUCUUUUGCCGGGGAGCAAGCGUGCGUUCGUGAACGCGCGUCGAGAGUACCCGGAGAAAAAGCAUCGGCUAACUCCGUGCCAGCAGCCGCGGUAAUACGGAGGAUGCGAGCGUUAUCCGGAUUUAUUGGGUUUAAAGGGUGCGUAGGCGGGAUGCCAAGUCAGCGGUAAAAAUGCGGUGCUCAACGCCGUCGAGCCGUUGAAACUGGCGUUCUUGAGUGGGCGAGAAGUAUGCGGAAUGCGUGGUGUAGCGGUGAAAUGCAUAGAUAUCACGCAGAACUCCGAUUGCGAAGGCAGCAUACCGGCGCCCUACUGACGCUGAGGCACGAAAGCGUGGGUAUCGAACAGGAUUAGAUACCCUGGUAGUCCACGCAGUAAACGAUGAAUGCUAACUGUCCGGCUCGAAUGAGCGCUGGGCGGUACAGCGAAAGCUUUAAGCAUUCCACCUGGGGAGUACGCCGGCAACGGUGAAACUCAAAGGAAUUGACGGGGCCCGCACAAGCGGAGGAACAUGUGGUUUAAUUCGAUGAUACGCGAGGAACCUUACCCGGGCUCAAACGCAGGAUGACGGGUCCCGAAAGGGGUCUUUCUUCGGACAUUUUGCGAGGUGCUGCAUGGUUGUCGUCAGCUCGUGCCGUGAGGUGUCGGCUUAAGUGCCAUAACGAGCGCAACCCCUGUCCACAGUUGCCAGCAGGUAAAGCUGGGGACUCUGUGGAGACUGCCGGCGCAAGCUGCGAGGAAGGCGGGGAUGACGUCAAAUCAGCACGGCCCUUACGUCCGGGGCGACACACGUGUUACAAUGGCAGGUACAGCGGGAUGCCACGGGGCGACCCGGCGCUGAACCCGAAAACCUGUCUCAGUUCGGAUUGGAGUCUGCAACCCGACUCCAUGAAGCUGGAUUCGCUAGUAAUCGCGCAUCAGCCACGGCGCGGUGGAUACGUUCCCGGGCCUUGUACACACCGCCCGUCAAGCCAUGGAAGCCUGGGGGUACCUGAAGUGCGUGACCGCGAGGAGCGCCCUAGGGUAAAACUCGGUGACUGGGGCUAAGUCGUAACAAGG